rnacentral:lncRNA from 1 species
UCAGGCAGCUUCCCUCGUUUCCUCGACCAGGUCCAAGUUGUUCCGGAGCUGCGAGGAGUUGGAGCCAUCGUCGUAGUGUUCUGUCCUCGGAGAAGGGAGUCCGAUUUCCAGUAGAAUGACGGCUUCCGUUCCGUAUGUCAGGUUGAAGGGAGUUUCGUCGGUAGGGACACGGAAUGUAGUUUGAUAUGCCCAGAGGACAUUGUACAGGUCUUCGACCCACUGUCCCUUGGACUGGUCGAGCCUGGCUUUGAGUCCCUGCAAAAUAGUUCGAUUCGUUACCUCGGUUUUCUCCGUUUGUCUGAGGGUGCGCAAGUGAGGUGAACCGAUGGUCGAUGCCGAGGUCGGAGCAGAACUCUCUAAAGCGAACGUUGUCGAACUGGCGACCGUUGUCGGAUAUGAGGACGCGGGGAAGUCCGAAUCUGCAAAUUAUCGACUUUCAAAUGAAGUCCUGCAUCUUUUGCUCGGUGAUCCGGACGACCGGCUCGGCCCGACCCAUUUUGUGAAGUAGUCGAUGGAGACGACCAAAAAUUUAUUCUGCCCGGUGGCCUGGAGGAAUAGCCCCAGGAUGUCAAUCCCCCAUUGGGUGAAAGACCAGGGGGAGCCAAUCGAGGUCAAAGGGGCAGAGGGUCAGCGUUGGAUGCUAGAGUACCUUUGGCAUCGAUCGCAUCUCCGGACGAAGUCCAG